UCUUAUUGUUGUUAAUAUCUAUUGUUAAUUGAAGGAUUGUUUUCUUCUUCGAUUGUUGCGGUAGGUGGCGUUGUUAGUGCGAACGUGAAGAACGAAGCACUGACAUUCGGCACGGCUCGACGUUCCCCACUUUGACGUUUUGUUUACAACCAAAAAUAACGAAUUGAAAUUCCGCUUACAGUAUAAGUACUCGCGUGCGGGAUUUUUAAAAGGGUUGGAGUUUAAAGAAACGUCGUUUACGUAGAUUAACACACGGUAGAAAGAUGUCUCCUUUUUAUGUUUCAAACACAACAAUCGAUAUAGAAAAUAUUUUUAAAUAUUCGCUAAUUCGGACAGUUUAUUUCCUAUAAAAACUUUAUAAAAAUACUAAUAUUUAGCCUAUGUUUAUAUAGAUUUAGGACUUAUCUAUUUAUAAAUACAAGGUAAGUUUUACUUUUAGUUUAUCUGGAAAACGCUUUUAUAGCCUAAAAUUUGAUGAAUGUAAAAAAAUACAACAAAACUUGGCCCAAAAACAAAAAUUCUAAUUUUCUAAAUGACGCCAGUGCACUAAAUUUUGGGGUAUUAAAAAAGAAAAUUGUUUAUUUUAUAAUACAUAAUUUCGUAUUGUAUUCGCGUGGUUUAUUUUAAAAACCCAAAUAAAAUAAUAAGUAAAUCUGUAUAUAUAUAUAUGUGUGUAUUCAUUUACAUACAUCUACUCUGCAAGAACGUAGGAAACGGACUGGAAUUUAAAGGAAUUUUUGGAUCGAUAAGUAGUUUGUAUGCCUUCUAUUGGCAUCGGACGUUAUUUUAUAAGAUAUUUGAUUGACGUCUUCCAGUUAACUAAGAAAAGAAAUUCUUUAAAGCUGGUUAUCUUCACUGUACUUUCUCAUUUUCCAAAAAUAUUCUUUGAUCUUUAAUAAGCUUAUUAUAUUGACUUAGGUUAUUCAUUACCAGAUCUUUUCUUCGUGUAAUGACAUUAUAUUUAUGUACGUAUAUCAGGACUUCGGCAAGAUAAUAUUCGACAAAGAGUAUUAAAAUUUUUAUAAGCUUAGACAAGUAUGACAAUAGGGGUGUAAAUUAAUUAAGACGAAAGUUUUGAAAUGAAAUAAUAGACAUUGAAUAGAGAAAACGAAUUGAAGCAUCAAAAUUUCCAGGUGUACCCGCACACCAAUAAUUUAUCAAUCCGGUGGGUCGUAUUAAUAAGAGAACAAUAAACAGGUUUAAUACAGGAAAAUUUCGUAUUAAACGUUUUAAAGUGGAAUCGUUCCGCUCUUCUCUCUUAGGGGAAGAAAUUAGGAUUCUGCAGCAUCCAUAAUUCUCUGGAUAUUAUUUUUCCAAGUGUGGCAAUUGAUCCUAGCAUCAUUCUAGCUUCGGUAAUUCGGUAAUUCGCAUCCGUAACGUUCGUCUUUAUGGUUGGAAAGUUUAUACGAAAUUCCAUUAUUUUAAUUAUUUUUAAACCCGAUAAAUUUGUUCUUUUUAUUAAUAAACGAUUCAAUUUAAUAUUCGUAUUUUUAUAUCUUUAAUGUUUAUAAACAAAAAAUACUGCAAUUUUUCAUUUUUUAAGACAAGAAAAUAAUGAAUGAAAACGAAUUGCAUUUAUUAAUAUAGACUAACUGAAAGAGUAACUUUUAGUAUUGUGAAUAUUAAUUAAUUAAAUAAAAAAAGUCUUGUAUAAAUGUCAGAAUAAUUGCUUUUAUGUGAUAAUAACGUGUUUAAAUUCUGGCAACAGAUUAUAUAAACUACGUGGGAAGUAAGUUGACGUAAUUAUUGCGCUUAUAGAAAAAUUAUUGUGCUGCAAUUUGAAAAAAUUGUAGCCAUAAAUUACGAUUGUCGUCCAACUGUGUGUCUGUCUGUUGUCUGUCUUUUCUUAAUCUCGAGAAAGGAGUUAGGUAGAUGAAAGUCAAGACCAAAUAUGGAAAAAUUAGGACCAAGAAGCCAGAUUAAUUAUAUACGAGCUUCCGAUACAAACCAGAAGUCAACUUUAGUUUAAUUCAAAAUUUCCUCUAAACGGAAUUAGAUAAAUAACCAGAACGAAUCUAUUCCUAAUAGGAACAGUAUGACGUACAGUACAGGUUCAAGAAACCACUAAAAGAAUUGAGAAUAAUCUGACGAAUAAUUGCAGCCCAACAUUGUGACGAUGUCACAAUAAAUAAUCGCUCGUUAGAAUUAGUUUGGUUUACUUGGUUACAGCGACACGUAAACGAAAUGCCGAGGGGAUGCACCCAGAAAAGACUUUUAUGGAAAGCUGGACUCUAUUUAGGUGUUACUAACGCAAAGAAAACCUUGAAAACUUUCACGUGUCCAUGCCCGAACUCGCGACUAAGUAACUACCAGACUUCGGUGGUUUUAUCCACUCGGCUACCGGAGGGAGCUUAUUAAAAUUAUAAUUGAUUUUUAGAAAUGCGAUAUAUAUUUUGGAGUAUGAUUACAAUAUUAUCUACGUUAGGUGUAUAUAAGCGUAACUGUUGAGUUUCGUAGCAAUUUGUCGAACGGCCUAGGAAUGUAUAGCGAACAAACAAACAAACGUCCUCAUUUUUAUAUGUGUGUAAAUAAAUGAGAUUAAUUUGUCGAUAGUUUUCUAGUUAGAGAAAUAUUUAGAACACGUUAGAGAAUAUUUGAAGAGAAUAAUUUAAAAGCAUGGAUGUUAUUCGUAUAAAUAGACACUAGACUAUUAUAAAUAAAUCACUUUAUGAAACUUUUAAUUAAAACUAUUUUGUUUACUUAAAUUCAAUUUAAACA
rnacentral:misc_RNA from 1 species